rnacentral:rRNA from 1 species
AUUGAACGCUGGCGGCAGGCUUAACACAUGCAAGUCGAGCGGAGAUGAGGUGCUUGCACCUUAUCUUAGCGGCGGACGGGUGAGUAAUGCUGAGGAAUCUGCCUAUUAGCGGGGGACAACAUUUCGAAAGGAAUGCUAAUACCGCAUACGUCCUACGAGAGAAAGCAGGGGAACUUCGGACCUUGCGCUAAUAGAUGAGACUAAGUCGGAUUAGCUAGUAGGUGGGGUAAAGGCAUACCAAGGCGACCAUCUGUAGCGGGUCUGAGAGGAUGAUCCGCCACACUGGGACUGAGACACGGCCCAGACGCCUACGGGAGGCAGCAGUGGGGAAUAUUGGACAAUGGGGGGAACCCUGAUCCAGCCAUGCCGCGUGUGUGAAGAAGGCCUUAUGGUUGUAAAGCACUUUAAGCGAGGAGGAGGCUACUGAGACUAAUACUCUUGGAUAGUGGACGUUACUCGCAGAAUAAGCACCGGCUAACUCUGUGCCAGCCGCCGCGGUAA